rnacentral:lncRNA from 1 species
UUUUUAUAUGGUGGGUUAAAAGAAAUGUACUAUUAAAAUUAAUUUCACCUGUUUAUUUUUUACCUUGUUUAAAAUUGGCUACUAGAAGAUUUUGAAUUGUGUAUAUGACCCUCAUUAUGUUUGCACUAGACAAGGCUGAACUAGAGCCAUAGCAGAGUUGUGAGAAUUCAUGCUACUAUAUAGUAGUUAACACUUAUAUGCUACUUACUCUGAACCAGGCACCAUUCCAUGUACUUUCCGGGUAUUGACUUGAUUCAUCUUCCCAGGAACCCUCUGAGAUAGGUACUAUUAGUCAACGCCUGCAUUCUACGUCCUCUGUCGCUUAUUACUCCAGGCGUCUUGCUUGGAACAUCACAGAGUUUCCAACAGUCUCAUUUUAAAAGAGAGGGGGAGGAAGAAGAGGAAGACAUAUGCAUAGUGGUUAAAAAUCAUACAACAUAACUCAAUAAAACAAAUAACCCCAUUGAAAAAUGGGCUACUGGGGCCAGCUCCAUGGCAUAGUGACUAAGUUCGGCAAGCUCUGCUUUGGCAGCCCAGGUUCACAGGUUCAGAUCCUGGGCAGGGACCUAAGCCACUUGUCAUCCAUACUGUGGUGGCGACCCACAUACAAAAUAGAGGAGAAUUGGCAUAGAUGUUAGCUCAGGGCUAAUCUUCCUCAAGCAAAAGAAGAGAAAGAUUGGCAACAGAUGUUAACGCAGGGUGAGUCUUCCUCAGAAAAGCAAAAAGGGCUACAGAUUUGAAUAGACAUUUUCCAAAGAAUAUACACAAAUGGCCAACAAGUAUAUGAAAAAAUACUCAUCACUAAUCUUCAGGGAAAUGCAAAUCAAAAUCAAAAUGAGAUAUUAUCUCACACCUGUUAGGUUGACUAUUAUCAAAAAGACAAAAGACAGCUAGUGUUGUCAGCCAAGGAUGUGGAGAAAUUGAAACCCUUGCACAUUGUUGGUGGGAAUGAAAACAAUGGUGUAGUCACUAUGGAAAACAGUAUGGAAGUUCCUCACAAAUUAAAAGUAAAAUUACCAUAUGAUUCAGCAAUCCCACGUCUGGGUUUUUAUCCAGAAGAAUUAAAAUCAGGAUCUUGAAGAUAUAUUAGCAUUCCUAUGUUCAUUGCAGCACUAUUCAAUGACCAAGACGUGGACACAACCUAAGCGUCCAUCAACAGAAGAUUGGAUAAAGAAAAUGUGUUUUAUACAUACAAUGGAAUACUGUUUAGCCUUCAAAAAGAAGGAAAUUCUGCUAUAUGCAGAAAUAUGGAUGAACUCUGAGGACAUUAUGUUAAGUGAAAUAAACCAGUCAUAGAAAGACAAAUAUUGUGUGACUCCAUUUAUAUGAGGUAUCUAAAACCGUCAAAUUCAUAGAAUUAAAAGUGAAAGGAAUGGUGGUUGUCAAGGGCAGGGAGGAGGGAGAAAUGGUGAAUUAUUAAUCAAUGGGCAUAAAGUUUCAGUUAAGCAAGACAUGAAUAUGCUCUAGAGAUCUGCUAUACAGCAGCACACCCAUAGUGAACAAUAACAUAUUGUC